GGGCGUGUAGCUCAGUUGGGAGAGCGCCUCGUUCGCAACGAGGAGGUCGCAGGUUCGAUUCCUGUCACGUCCA
rnacentral:tRNA from 1 species